UACCCUUUGACCAAAUACGCCAUUUGCACCGGCUGUUCUGGAAGAAAAGAACAUUGAUUUUCGUGCAGAUGUUUUUAUACCAGUAUGCCCGUAUUUGCUCCUUUAAGGUGUGGUAACUUAUUUGCAGGUCGCUGAACUUCAUCAUGUCACAUGCCAGAAUAUACAAACGUAAGGGAGUGAUCAGUCAUAAUAGAAUUUGAACGUACAGUGAAUGUAGCAACAUGGACAGUUUGAUAUACUGUAGUGGACGGAUCAGCAGGGGAGGUAACUAGAGUCCAGAUUGGGACUAGGGCGUAACUUGCCAACAAAAACAGCAAAAAAGAGAAAAUUUUAGUGUGAUGUACAAGUAAAGCAGAAUGCCUAGAGACCAGUUCCUUCAGAAUUGAAGAGAUGCAGGUCUUUAUUCUACAUGGUGAAAGAUGGAAUUAAAGUGGAUAUUUGGAUUUAUCAGUGAAAACCUGUGAAGUGUUAGUGAAGCAGAAUAGUUACAGAUCAUAAGAGAUGCGGGUCUUUGUUCAGCAUGGUGUAUAUGGAAAACAUAGUGGAUGGCCAGCAUAGAAAACAUUUAACGAUGUGAAGCAACAGUCGAGCAGAAUGGUUACAGACCAUUAAUUCAGAACUGAAGAGAUGCAGGUCUAUAGGACUGUGAUGUGUGUACCAGUCUAUCAGGCUAUCCCAUUCUGUCCAGUCAACAAAUUGGCAAUGGCUACAUGGAUUCUCAAGUAACUUGGCAUUACUUAUCACAGUAACAAAGAUAGAUUGCAAAAGUUUUUAGGUGAUUAUACCCCACAAACGAAGUUUUGCGGGGUAUAUACGGGUGAGCUUGUUGGUCGGUCAGCAAGCUCGUUGGUUUUCAUGGUUUACGGAAUAAAACGCAAUAACCUAUGAAAGGCCUCAGAGAUUUAAAUAAUUUUUGGUACACAGGUUUAACAUCAUAAAAUGCAGGUCAAGUUUGACUUUGAGGUUAGUAGGUCAAAAGUCAAGGUCACAAUGAUCCGGAACAGUUAAAUGGUAUCUGGAUAAUAACUUUAGAACACUUUGGCCUAGGGUCAUAAAUUUUAGACACAGAUGUAACAUCAGAAAACACAGGUCGUUUGACUCUAAGGUCAUUAGGUCAAAGGUCAAGGUUACAAUGACCUAGAACAGUUAAACGGAUUCUGGAUGAUAAUUUGAGCUUGCUUGGGCCUAGGAUCAAUAAAUUUUGAUACACAAGUGUAACUGCAAAAAAUACAGGUCGAUUACAAUUUUGAGGUUAGUAGGUCAAAGGUCAAGGUCACAGUGACCCGGAACAGUUAGACCAUUUCCGGACAAUAAGUUGAGAACAGUUGAGCCUAGGAUCAUGAAAGUUGACAGGAAGGUGGGUCAUGACCAGAGUGAAACCAUUCCAGACAGUAACUUUAGAAUGCUUGGGCAUUGGAUUAUAAAAGUUAAUAUGGCGGCUGAUCAUGACCAGCGGAUGACUCCUAUUGGUUUUUGAGGUCAGUAGGUCAAAGGUCAAGGCCGCAUUGACCCAGUAGGGUAGAACUUUUUUGCAAGGUUGACAGAUUUAAAUCAUUUUGAUACACAGUUGUAAUAUCUUCAAAUAUAGGACAAGUUCGACUUUGACAUUGACUUACUUCUCUGCCAAGGCCGUAUUGCGGGGGUAUAAUUCGUCUUUCCUGUGCCACUCUAGGUUUUCUUCGUUGAUUGAAAGCCUUUUAAGUUCACCUGAACACAAAGUGCUCAAGGUGAGGGUUUAGAAUCAUUGGAUGUUUGUCGUCCACCCAUCAAUCAAAAUUACUUUUAAUAGCAUCUCCUCCUGAACAACUAUGCCAAUUUCAACUAAACUUCACAGGAUUGUUCCUUGGGAGAUCCAGUUUCAGAUUUCUUAAAAUCUAAUCGUCAUUCAAUGUCAAAUGUUUUUCUAGUCAAAACAGAACUCAGUGUAGUGUAAAUAGAGAAGACAAUUCAGUAGUGGAUAUAAAAAUUGAUGAAUACAUUGUCAAUGAGCCCGAGUCUCAAUGUUCAAAAGGCACAACACCUGUUAAAACUGAUACAAAUGGUUCCAUUCAGAAUGAUAUGAGAAAUUCUUUAUGCCUGAAAAAAGGUCUUAAUUUCAUACACUUAAAUAUCCACUACUUGUAUCCCAAAUUAGAUGAAAUUAAGUAUUUUUUAGAUGAAAACAGUGAGUUCGAUGUACUUGGUUUUUGUGAAACAUUUUUAAAUGAUCCUUUUACAGACAAUGAACUAUGUUUAUCAAAUUAUCAACUAUUUAGAAAAGACAGAAAAUCAAAUGGAGGAGGAAUUAUUGUUUAUGUGAAAGAAAAAUACCCAUGUUGGCAAAGACAUGAUCUUGAAAAUGAAAAUUUAGAAACUUUAUGGCUAGAAAUCAAACCAAACCAACAAAAAUCUUUCCUGCUAUGUUACACUUACAGACCACCCUCCUGUAACCAGUUUUGGAAUGAAGAAUUUGAAAUGUCAUUAGAGACAGUAUUUCCUGAAAACAAAGAAAUAAUAUUACUAGGAGACUUUAAUUAUAAUUAUAUUGAAAAUAAAUCAGUGAAUAAUGCAUGGAACAAUAUAACAACGAUAAGAGUUACCAUUCUUUAUCUCGCGUGAAGUUGUUUGAGACGAGAACUUAUUUGUUUACAAAAAAUGGCUGAUGAAAAACAUUCACCAUAUCGACAUUAUUGAUAAAUCCCGUUUUCCGGUAUUUCCGUACAUAGGGUCAGGGGGGUCGGCGAGAUUAACCGAUAUAAAGACCGUGUACACUAUGAGCGAUUAUUUUUGCCAGAAGAUAAGAAUUUAUGAAAGAUCUUACUUUCUCACAAUGGAAAUACUAUUCUACGACUUCGGCAACAUUGUUUUUUGCAAAAAUAAUCUGUUUAUCUUGAACAAUGCAAAAAAUUUCACACCUUCGGUAUCGAGCCACGGAAGCGGCAGUGUAGAAUAAAAGAUAAAAUUUCAAAAAUAAAGUAAACUUUGAGGAUAUUUUUGCUAUAUCUUAAUUACAACAAUGUUUAAUGAUAAUCUGCAAUACUUUUUUUAUU